rnacentral:rRNA from 1 species
AUUGAACGCUGGCGGCAUGCUUUACACAUGCAAGUCGAACGGUAACAGGCCGCAAGGUGCUGACGAGUGGCGAACGGGUGAGUAAUGCAUCGGAACGUGCCCAGUCGUGGGGGAUAACGCAGCGAAAGCUGUGCUAAUACCGCAUACGAUCUACGGAUGAAAGCGGGGGAUCGCAAGACCUCGCGCGAUUGGAGCGGCCGAUAUCAGAUUAGCUAGUUGGUGGGGUAAAGGCCCACCAAGGCGACGAUCUGUAGCUGGUCUGAGAGGACGACCAGCCACACUGGAACUGAGACACGGUCCAGACUCCUACGGGAGGCAGCAGUGGGGAAUUUUGGACAAUGGGCGCAAGCCUGAUCCAGCAAUGCCGCGUGCAGGAUGAAGGCCUUCGGGUUGUAAACUGCUUUUGUACGGAACGAAACGGCCCUUUCUAAUACAGGGGGCUAAUGACGGUACCGUAAGAAUAAGCACCGGCUAACUACGUGCCAGCCGCCGCUGUAACAC